CAAAACAAUCAAGGAAACUAUAAUAAGCCCGCAAAUGAUAACAACAACCAGAAUAAGACUCCGGGCAAACCGUUCUUGAUGUCUAGAAAUGAAGCUGAAUAUUCUGCAGACGUAGUUCAUGGUACUUUUUCUAUUAACUCUGUGCUAGUUAAAACAUUAUGUGAUUCGGGAGCAACUUAUUCUUUUGUUUCGUCAUCUGUUGUUAAGAGUCUGAAUUUGGUAGAUUUUGAGUAAUUGAUUUACCUGUUAGUAUACCUACUAGUGUAACCAUAAGGUGUACCAAGUUGUUUAAGAAUCCGCCUUUUAAGAUAAAAGAUUGCGUUUUCUUUCCGAUUUGAUAGAGUUUAAUCUGGGAAACCUAUAUGUAAUUUUGGGGAUGGAUUGGCUAAGUUUGUUCAGGGCCAAGUUAGAGUUUGUAAUUCAGAAACUAAGUAUAAGGAACCCUAUUGGAAAUUUGACCUCAUAUAAACGUUUUGGGAAGACCAAGAACCUUGGGGUUAUUUCUGCAAUGCAAGUGAGGAAAUUGAUGAUAAGGAGUGUGAACUAUUUUUCUGUAGGAGCUAGAUGUGAGUUAAGAAGUCGGAAUGAAGAUCGAGGAUGUUCCAACUGUGAAUGAAUUCAUGGAUGUGUUUCCUAGUGAGAUUGCAGGUAUGCCACUUGCUAAGAGCCGUUGAGUCCCCUAUAGACUUAGUUCCUAGAAUGACGCAUAUAUCUAGAGCACCAUAUAGAAUGACACCUCCUGAAAUGAGCUAAUUAAGAAAAAGUUGCAAGAGUUGUUUGGUCAAGGAAUAUAUUAGGCCUAGUGCAUCACCGUGGGGAGCUCCUGUGUUGUUUGUUAAGGAGAAAGAUAAGAGUAUGGAAUUAUGCAUCGAUUUUAGGGAGCUAAACAUCAUCAAGAGCAAGUAUCUAUUGGAUCAAUUGAACUGGGCGAGUGUGUUAUCGAAGAAUGAUUUGUGUUUGAAGUAUCACCAAUUGAGGAUAGCUGAUAAAGAUAUACCUAAGACCUCAUUAGGACUCGUUAUUGUCAUUAUGGGUUUAGAGUAAUGUCUUUUGGGUUAACCAAUGCACCUGCCAUAAUUAUGGAUUUGAUGAAUAAGAUUUUCUACGAAUCCCGAAUUAAGUUCGUUAUUAUGUUACUGAUGGUAUCCUGAUUUAUUCAAGGAAUGAAAAGAGCAUAAUGAAAUCUUGAGGAUUACUUUGGAGACGCUUAGAUAGAAUCUAGUUUUAUGUGAAUGAAGUACACAAAUCUUGAAGUCAUGUGCGUAUAAGUGACACCGGUGGAAAAGUGAAGGACUAUAUUGAUCGAAAACCACGUUACGUAAGGGAGUAAAAUUAAGAGAAGAUUCGAGUGGUCCAGGAUUGUUAGAAAUUUGUUGUCUUGAAAAGAGGGGAAUAUAUGAAUUGGUGAAAUACUAGGAUUUAAGCCCAAGAGUUAUAAAUCCAUGAAAGGCGUAAUGAGGUUCAGUAGAAAAGGAAAGUUGAGCAGAAGGAGUGUCUGUAGAUCCUGCUAAGGUUCGAGCUGUGAGUGAGUGACCUACUCCAAAGAACGUGUCUAAUAUUUGAAGUUUCCUAGGCCUAUUUGACUGUUAUAAGAGGUUGUGAAGACUUUAGAAGAGAGCAAAACCAAUGGCAAACUUGUUGAAAAAGGAAUCAAAAUUUGAGUGAAGUGAGAAAAGUGAGGAAGCUUCUAGAUUUUAAAAGAGAAUUUGACCUCCGCAACUGUUGUCGCGUCAAUUGAAACCUUGUAAGCCUAAUUACCAAACCCAUGACCUAAAGUUAGCUGCUAUUGUGUUACCUGCGAAUAUUUGGAGACAUUACCUUUAUAGGGCAACACGUAAGAUCCUUACCGAGCACAAAAGUCUGAAACUUUGGCAAUAAGGCCCAGUUGAAUCUUGGGGACAACAUCGAAAAAUAUACUGCUUUCCACCCUGCAAUUGAUGGUCAGCCUGGGAGGACUAACCAAACUACGGAAUAUAUGUUGAGAGCCCGUGUUAUUGACUUUAAGAGUAACUGGGGAACCACCUAGAUUCGAUUGGAUUUCUUGAAAGAUAGUUACCAUACGAACAGUAAGAUGUCACAUGUUGAGGCAUUGUAUGGGAAAGAAGUGUAGAGGUUCCACUUGUUGGGAUGAUUUUAGUGAAAAUAUAGUAUUGGGGGCAGAAUUCGUUGAAGAAAGGAAAUACCCAAAGUUAUUCCCUGAGAUGAGUUACGAGGGCGUAACUCGUUUUCUUUAAGAGGGGUAGAAUACGAUAUAAAUUCGCGCUUUUUACCUAAUUUUAUGGUGUUUUUAUGCAUUUUUAUGCUUAUUUUAGCAAAUUAUUCAUGUCGAUGCAAGUAAAUAGAUUCUUCGCGUAACAAAUAGGUGUUCAUGAGUAAUUCAAGAAACUUUAAGUUGGCAAAAGAGUGUACAUAAAUGCCACAAGUAUUUCUCCAAUGAGAAUGAGUUGAAAAGUUUGGAAAGAUAGGUGAAUUUUCGUGUCAAGUUUCGGGACGAAACUUCUUUUAAGAGGGGUAGAUUGUAAUCCCCCGUAAUUUUAUACAUUGUUUAUAUUUUUUACGUAUAUUUAAUAUAUUUAAGUACAAUUUGCGGAUUUUAGAAAUGAAUAUGUAAUUAAAAUAUAAUUAUUUUAUCUCAUUUUGAAUACUUUAAUGACUUACGAAAUCAAAAUGUAUUUUCGAAUUUUACGUUAAAACGAAUUCGAAUUACGAAAAUCGAUUAAAUUUAGAAAACGAUCCUAUCCGAUUUUGGAUUCGAAUCCUAAAACUAAAUUCCUAAGUCUAGCCCAAUUGAAUAAAGCCCAAUAUUAUAAACCCAUAACCCCAUACUUCUACUCCAUGUAAAACACAAAACACAAAACACCAAACCCCUCUAUUCCUACUUCACGUAAAAACCAAAAAGGGCAAAACCCAUCUCUCUCCUUUCCUGCUUCCUCUUCCUCCCUCUGCCCAGCCGCCGACCACCACGAGCACGCCACCAAGGCCGCCAGACCACCUCGCCGCCACGUCGCUGACCACCAGCUCUCACCACCACCUUGCUCGCGCAGCCCCCGCGUCGCCACCCAGCCUGCGCCGCCGCUGCCUUGUCCCUGCUCGCCGCCACCGCAAGUAGCACCACCGUGUGCCGCCGUCUCUCAGCCCUGCCGCAAGCCACCUCUGUCCGCCAGCCAACUCUCUCUCCUCCUUCUUGAAUUGGCGGAGAAUUCUCUUUAGGCGACUUUUGAAAGUGUUAAAGUGGCCUAUCAGUUUGUUUACACAAGUCUCUAAGGAUCAAUAAGCGUUGCCCAUCUACAGGUUUGAAGAUGAUGCAUCAUUGGGAUCGGGAUUAGAGAGCUUGUAGUUCUAUUCGUUUAAUUAAGUGAUUUAAUUUGUUAACUUGGAUUUGAAAUUUGUCGUACUAUUCGUAUUUCCUUAAUUCAGUUAAUUGGUUUGGACCUAAUAUGUAAUAGAUUAUUUAUGAACCUAAAAGUUAGUUUUAUGUUUUCCGCUGCAAAA